UCAUCUAAGGCCUCUGACACAGUACCCCACAACAUCCUUCUCUCCACAUUGGAAAGAGAUGGAUUUGAUGGAUGGACUCUUUGGAUGAAGAAUUGACUGCUGGGUCGAGUCCAGAGAGCGGUGGUCAAUUGCUCAAUGUCUGGAUGCAGAUUGAUGGCAAGCAGUGUCCCCCAGGGGUCGCUGCUGGGGCCGAUACUCUUCAAUAUCUUCAUUGGUGACAUUGACAGUGUGAUGGAGUGCGCCCUCAGCAAGUUUUCUGACACCAAGCUGUGAGGUUCCCUGGAGCAAGCAUUGCAUUUGGCUGUCAGCAGGGGGCUGCUGUGUAAGGAUCUUAGCUGUGUGGGUGAACACCCUGCCUGCCCUCCUUUAGUGCUGUGCUAACCUUGAUGGAAACAGGAAUGGAUGAGUGGUACAUCUCUUCUACAUGAGGGAUGAAUGGAUGCUUUAUCACUCUCUUUGAGGAUGCCUGCAUCUGCAAAGUGGCUGAAAAGGAAAUGUAAAAAGGAGCUGGAUGUUUCUGCACAGGUGGCAGUGGGCAGCCCAAGGCUCACGUGGAGUGGAUUCCUGAGAUGUCUGCAGUUUCCCACGGUUGUUCCUGAGCUGUGUGACUGCACACAGCCUUUCUCCUGCACCAGUGCACAGGGAACAGGGCAAAAUUUAGGUCAUGCUUAAUCUGUACUGAAGAUUAACAUGUUCAUGUUAUGGAUGUGAGGAGCAUGUAAUGAAAUCAGAUUAAAGCAGUAGUUAUUAUGGACAUUAUUUACACAUCAUCGUAUCUAUUUGUAAAGACAUGUAGGUUGCUCCAGAAGUGUUGCUUCCUAUUUCUUUCCAUGAAAACUUCAACAGGUACCACAAUAGUACCACAAAAGACCACAAUAACACUAUUUGAGAGAGCAAAUUCUCAGCUACAAAACAUUGUUUUUCAACAUGCUCACCACCAUUGGCUGUGAAUUUUCACCAGUGAUGAACAAGAGCCUGUAUGCUGUGCUCAUUAAAAAAAAAUAAAAAAUAAAAAAUAAAUCUGCACAGCCAUGUAGAAUGUGGUUUGUCUCUUGUAUUGCUAUCACCACUGCUGAACUGUAGAUGUUUGGUUUCCAUAAACGUUCAGCAAACAUUGAGAAGAGGCAUUACUUUCAAAGCAGCCCUUGUGCAUAGCCAUUUAGGUAUUUUGUAACCCAUUAUAUGAAGUCACUGAGCAGAGCCUUCAUACAAACAUUCCUGAAGUCUAAAAGUGACCUGCUGCUUACAUGAAAUUGUAUUUUUUUUGCAGUAAAAAUGUAGUCCUGUCAGUCAUCCUCUGCUUUUGCUGUUUUUCUGAUUCCUCACUCAU